GGGGACUUUGGGCCCCAGGGUAACAGCUUGACCUCUGGAGGCACUGGAGACAAAGAUCAGCCACGUGGCAGUCAACCAUGUCUAUCUGACCAAGUUCCAAUGAAAACUCUGGACACCAAGGCUUGGGAGAUAUUUCUCAAAAGACUCCUCUGCGGGAGAGGAGAAUAGAUUCACAGGCCUGCCUUACUCUAAGACAAUCCAGCACUAAGCCAAUGCAUACAUAUCUGAGAAAUGAAAAUUAAGACUUACUGGUCAUCUGAAAUUCAGCAAAUGCUACUCUCUCUAGCUGUACUCUAAGCAGUUCGCAGGGAGCAUCUUUCAGCAGCUGAAACAGCUUUGCGGCCUUGCUGUAAUGAAGAUCUGCCAGCACCCGGUGUUGUUUCCUAAGGUGUUCAUCACCAACCUAGAACCAAACCAAAACAAGCAACAAAUCCUUCACGAGACCGUCCAGGCUGGACUUGAACUCCUUCCUCGGCUGAAGUGAUCCUCCUGCCUCAGCGUCCUGAAUAGGAAGUGGAGCCAGAAUCCACAGAUGUCAUUAUCCAUCUGCACACUUUGUUUACUACCCAGAAGGCAAGAAUAUUGCAUUUUAAAAGUGCCCGGACUUUUGUUCUUUCUUAUCACAAAUGACUUGGGAAGCUCCGACCACUCAUGUUUACCCCGAGUGAAAGUCCCAUUCAAAGCCUUGCUUCCUGGAGAGCUUUGAGAUUCUGGUACAAAAGGCAUUUUAUAAGCACAAAGUGGAAAAGCAUCAUUCAUAUUCAUUUGCUGCUGCGGCAUUUCUCCCUGGAAUCUUCCUCUUGUCUGUCAACAUUGGGCAAAAGGACUGGCCUCAUCUACAUUACAGAUAUCCUUGUGAUGGUCUGGAGGGACCUGUGGGAGAGGCGGCCAUCCAGAGGGCUCUCUGAGGGGUCAUUUAGAAUGCAACUCUUCUGGGCAGAGGAUGGUCUGCACUGGCCUCCACCACGCAGGAAGGCUUCCAGAGUGGAGAAAUGUCCACUAACAUGGCUUCUGUGAGGUAUCAUUCUGAUCAUUGUUGUUACAGGAGAGAUGAGAGGAAGUUAGAGGGGCUAGAAGAACCAGGAGACCUGUUGAAAAUCAUGAAUACAAAGAGAGGUCGUUUGCUUCUGUGCUUCAAUUCUAUAAUAAAAUGAGUACAAUGUCA
rnacentral:lncRNA from 1 species